UACGGGGGGGGUAAGCGUUGUUCGGAAUUACUGGGCGUAAAGGGCUCGUAGGCGGCCAACUAAGUCGGACGUGAAAUCCCUCAGCUUAACUGGGGAACUGCGUCCGAUACUGGAUGGCUUGGAUUUGGGAGAGGGAUGCGGAAUUCCAGGUGUAGCGGUGAAAUGCGUAGAUAUUGGGAGGAACACCAGUGGCGAAGGCGGCUCACUGGACUGGUACUGACGCUGAUGCGCGAAAGCGUGGGGAGCAAACAGG
rnacentral:rRNA from 1 species